GCUGGGUGUGGUGGCUCACGCCUGUAAUCCCAGUGGCUAGGAAGGCUGAGGCAGGAGGAUCUCAAGUUCAAAGCCAGCCUCAGCAAUUUAGCAAAGCUCUAAGCAACUUAGCAAGAUCCUGCUUCAA
rnacentral:sRNA from 1 species